GAAGAAGAGGUAGGCUCGGGUUCAGACCAAGCAGGCGAGAGGGAGUAGACGGGAUGUCCCAGGUUGGCAGUGACCAGUGACAGCGGAGUCACCCAACCCAGCCGCCUCACCCUCCCGGGGCGCUGGUCUCUCCCCUUGAACUGAAACCCAAGGGGCCGCCACACCGGGUGGGCGGGACCGACUAUUCCCUGACAGGCCCCUGGAGCUGCAUGCCAAGCGGGGCUGCGCCGAGCCGCUGAGCGCAGAGAGGAGCACCCGGCACCCAUCUGGCCGGACUCGGGGCCGCACCCGAGCGCGCCGGGCAGCAGUGGGCGCUCGAGAUCCUCCUCUGCCCUACGCGCUUUCCCUCCGGGCCCGGCCUCCUCCGUCCCCUCCUUCUGCUCCUGCUCCUCCUCCCGCUCCUCCCCUCCUCGGGAUUGAGCACCAAAACGCCCGCCUGCAAGGUCCUCGGCGCGCUGGCAGCCAGAAGCCGCUGCCACCACCUCUGGGUCUCAGUGGGUGCCUGCGCCCUCUCGCCGCCCACCCGCCCGCCCCGGGUCUUCCUGAAACUUGCUCCACCCGCCGCGGGUGCUGGUCAUUGCUGCCCAUGGCCCAACCCAGGAGCCUCUUUAGGGCGCCCGACGGGCUGGACGGCUGCGCCGCUCAGUAAUUGAAGGCCUGAGACGCCCAUGUGCCACUGAUUGGAAGGCUUCCCUGCUGCGGCGCUUCAUGAUCCAGCAGCGCGUGGACCAGUGAAGCUGCGGUGGUGUCCAGCAUGGCCGCGCUGCUCCUGGGCGCGGUGCUGCUGGUGGCCCAGUCCCAGCUAGUGCCUUCCCGCCCCGCAGAGCUCGGCCAACAGGAGCUUCUGCGGAAAGCAGGGACCCUCCAGGAUGACAUCCGCGAGGGCGCAGCCCCAAACGGCUCUGCCCAGCAGCUGCCGCAGACCAUCAUCAUCGGCGUGCGCAAGGGCGGCACACGCGCGCUGCUGGAGAUGCUCAGCCUGCACCCCGACGUGGCGGCCGCGGAGAACGAGGUUCACUUCUUUGACUGGGAGGAGCAUUACAGCCACGGCCUGGGCUGGUACCUAAGCCAGAUGCCCUUCUCCUGGCCGCACCAGCUCACGGUGGAAAAGACCCCUGCGUACUUCACGUCGCCCAAAGUGCCUGAGCGAGUCCACAGCAUGAACCCGUCCAUCCAGCUGCUGCUCAUCCUGCGAGACCCGUCGGAGCGCGUGCUCUCUGACUACACCCAAGUGUUCUACAACCACAUGCAGAAGCGCAAGCCCUACCCCUCCAUCGAGGAGUUCCUGGUGCGCGACGGCCGGCUCAACGUGGACUACAAGGCCCUCAACCGCAGCCUCUACCACGUGCACAUGCAGAACUGGCUGCGCUUCUUCCCGCUGCGCCACAUCCACAUCGUGGACGGCGACCGCCUCAUCAGGGACCCUUUCCCCGAGAUCCAAAAGGUAGAGAGGUUCCUGAAGCUGUCGCCUCAGAUCAAUGCCUCAAACUUCUACUUUAACAAAACUAAGGGCUUUUACUGCCUGCGGGACAGCGGCCGGGACCGCUGCUUACAUGAGUCCAAAGGCCGAGCGCACCCCCAGGUGGAUCCCAAACUACUCAAUAAACUGCACGAAUAUUUUCAUGAGCCAAAUAAGAAAUUCUUCGAGCUUGUUGGCAGGACAUUUGACUGGCACUGAUUUGCGAUAAGCUAAGCUCAGAAACUUUCCUACUGUGCCAAAUAUCUUCCAUCCUAAGAGGUAUGUCCCAGCUACAGGAAGGGCAAGAAGAAGCCUGCAUUUUUCUCAGCAGUGUUAUCAGGGAAGUGAGUCACCUUGGUAUGUUUCAGCAGCCCCAGCCUGACCUGACCUUAGCAUGGCCUGUGCCCCACCCUAUAUCAUGCACAGAGAGCAAAGAGGAUGCCCUCCUCUUUAGAAUCUAUUAAAGUUGUCAUUAAACCAUCGUCUCCCCAGAGGAAGUAGCAAAAAUAUUUACAGCAGGCUCCUGGCGGACAUGGGACUUUUCAAUAGGCAGAGAGCCUCCCUCGGCAGCACAUCAUUGGAUCUUGCUUUUAUCACACUCGUUGAAUUGCUGAAGAAAUAAGAGGGCCCAGAAAGGUUAAGACAAGUUUCCAAGCCUGUUCACAAAUAUGGUGACUGAAAGGAAAGUGCAAUGAGAGUCUCUGACUCUGAAGAAGAUAUUCUUUGCAAACUGCCUAGUUGUGACUAAAGGAAUGUUCAAAUGAGUCUACCAUGAGCAAGGAAUCAGAGGUCCUCGUAGCAACGUCUGCUCAUUCAUUUUUGGUACAACCCAGCCAGUCCUUGAAAAGAGAGGUGGAGGAUGGCAAGACUGAAAAGGGCACAACGAAUUGUAAAGGUCAAGAGAUAUCUCAGCCUCACCCAUCUAUUUAUUAAAAUCCAACCUUACCUUAUUCACAAUUGUCAAAAUGUAGAAACAACCCAUGUCCCAUAACUGAUUAAUGAAUAAACAAAAUGUGACAUGGUACACAGUAGAAUAUUAUUUAGGCAAGAAAAUAUAUGAAGUUCUGAUACACAUUGCAGAAAGGAUGAGCCUUGAAACUAUUAUGCUAAGUGAAAUAAACCAAACAUAAAAGAAUAAACCUCAUAUGAUUCCACUUAUAUGAAAUAUCUAUAAUAAGAAAAUCCACAGAGCUAGAAAGUAGAUUAGCAGAUACCAGGGGCUGCCAGGGGGAGGUGGGGAGGGAGGUUGGACAAUGAAGUGUUAUUGCUUAACAGGUAUAAAUUUUCUGUUUGGGUUGUGAAAACGUUUUAGAAAUAAUGGUGAUGGAUACACAACAUUUUGAAAGCAAUUAAUGGCUCUGAAUCAUAUAAUCAUACACAUGAGGUUAAAAUGGCAAAUAUGUAUAUUUUACCACCAUGUGAGUGUGUGUGAGAGUGUGUGAGUGUGUGUGUGUGUUUCUGUGUGUGUCCCCAAACAGGGGAAAACAUUAAUCUUAGGUUCUAUGUGAACUUUGUAUUUAAUUGCAAGCAAGUCAACUAUAUUCUUGAUUCAUUUGUAGAAUAUGCAUAAAAUCUUCUAAAAAAUGGUAAAUCUAUGCAUCACUGUUGCAUGACAAUUUCAGUUUCCAAUUGCUGCAUUAUUUAUCAGUUUAUAGAUGGGAAAUAAACAUGAUACUUAAUGUGAAGCAGACCUAAUUACACCCACUUUAUAUGUGCCUAACUUGUGACUUAGCUUUAAACCAAAUAAAUCAUUUACACUUAUAAGUUAAACUACUGCAUACAGAGUUUUCAAUUUCUCCUAUCCUGAGAAGUAUAUUAUUGCCUCUCUAAAUCAUGUUGUUCCCAAUCUACCUGUGAAAUGUCCAGCAACAGAACCUCACAGUGAACGCACCAUCAGUCGGCAAUUUCCAGGGUGGACAUUAACCCCUUGCCCUCUCAGUUCUGUUUAACAAAAAUUCCUGAUCAUGGGGUUGAACAUAGCUGAUCAAACUGGAGUAAGUACUAAAUAGAUGUGCUCUUUAAUAGUAAAAAACAGAUAGUAUACUUGAGCGCUAAUAAAAUUAACCAAAAGAAUACAUCAGCAAGGAGUGAGUGUACUUUCAAAUUCUUCUUGUUUUGUUUAUCUCCGUCAGGCACACAGGCUAAAUUCAGCCGGUAUUACUUUGCUCACAUGCCAAUUUCCUGCUAGUCUGCAAGUGAAAAAAAUUCAUAUAAUUGAAAAUAAUACGGACUAUAUUUAAUGUUACCUAGAGAAGAUUUGACACCUUAGACUUUGAUUUGAUUCCUUCAAUAAUAGUUUAGCUCUUUAAAAUAAGUCCUGGGCAACUGGGCAUUCUUCUACUAGAGGAGAGUAAAUAUUGGAAGUUCAAGGGAUUUGGGGGCUGAUCAAGAAAUGAUUUACGAUCCUGACAGGCUGUAACAAACAACAAGCUUGAUGGGACAGUAUUUGGACAGGGUUGCAUAUCAGGAAAGGUCCUUAGAGCACGAGACCAUCCAGUGGUUUUAACAACAUUCCGGUGAUAUUAAACAGCAAGGCUGGGUCAGAAAGCUCCCAAGGGUAGCAGCUGCUCCUUCUGGCUUUGUAUUUACAAGACCCUAUCUUAGCAAUGGGUAACAAUUGUCUGGUGGUGCUUCCCAGAGUAUGCAAAACAAGCAGGCUUCAAAUGGCUUGUUUGGGUUAUGUUUUAAAUAAUUGGAUAUGCAAAAUAUUUGACUUUGGAGCGAGUGGGCUUUUGAGCUCGGGGUCUCAGCCUUCUGCAAAGAAAUAAGCAACCCAGUAGCCAAUACAUAGAGGCCAUCUUCGACUCACUUAUAUAAACAUAAGGAACUACAGUGUCUGCCUUACCUAAGAAUGGAUUGUUCAUCUUCAAGUGGACUGCUGUCAACUCAGAAGAUCCAUCAAAUGGCUUGUAUUAGUUUUCUAUUGCCACAGAAACACAUUACCGCAACUUAGUGGCUUACACAAGACAAAUUUAUUAUCUUACCGUUCUGAAAUUUGGAUGUCCAAAUUCGGGUCUUAGUGAGCCAAAAUCCAAGUGUUGUCAGGGAUCUGUUCCUUCUGGAGGCAAUGGGGAGAAUGUUUCACACAGUCUUUUCCAGGUUUUAGAGCCCAUUCUCAUUUCUUGGCUAGUGGUCUCACAUCAAAUCACCUUCCUUCAGACUCUUGAAUCACCACUUCUUCCCUCACGAUUCUUGUAAUCACAUUGGAUUCACCCAGAUAUCUCCUCAUUGCAAGAUUCUUACCUUCAUCACACUUGCAAAAUUCCUCUGCCAUGUAAGGCAACAUAUUCAGAGGUUCUGGGAAUCAGAAUGUGGACAUCUGUGGGGACAUUAUUCAGCCUCCCACUGGGUGCUGGGGAAGACACAGACUCCAGGUCUGUGAGGAGCCUCAGGUUCAGGACACAGAUAAAAGGAAUAUUAAUGGACUCCCUUCAAGGCAGCCCCUUAACUGCACUGAGUGGCUUCUGGAAGCAGGUAUAGCUAUUUUCAAACAUACAGGUGUUGAGAAUGAGAUUUACGGUUUCAACAAUUCAAGUUCUUCUAUCUCAGUGAAGUGUUCUGACUCCUAGCCCUAGGGCAGUUUGAGAGAUGGAGUCAAUAAAAUCAGACUCAUCUUUCCCAAGUUUCUCCCUCUUCAGACCAUACUGUUCUGUGUUCUCUUUUCAGAGUUUGGUCGUUCCACAUCCUGAAGUCCCAGUAAAUGACAGAUGACUCAGAUGCAGUCAUUGUUCUGGUAGAGCCCACGGCCCAGUGGGAAAGACAUAAAUAUAAACGGAGAUGACAUUUUCUUCCAGGACCCUGAGCAUCUAGCCAGAUCAUUGGUUCUGCAGCCCAUGGAUUGACACAUAAAUGCAUGUCUAGCCAUUUCUCCUUCCAAGUAAAGUGCACCACAAGGCACACUGCCCAAUGUGCUGCCUACUGGGAGGUUUUCCCUUUGCUACUGUCCUUCAUGGAUGUCCUGGAAAGAGGCUGUGGUGCUGCAGCUGUCUAAUUUGGUGUCUCCAUAUUAUGCAAAACCAUCUGAAACCAGGUUCGACUGUUGUCCUUCUCUGUCAGCUGAUCAUAGGGUGUGACCCAUGAAGCCACAGAUGCAGGCUGGAAGAGGGAAGGCAGUGUAGCAGCAGCAGGGACCACGGGCAUUUGGGUCACGUCUUCAUCUAAUUCACUUAUGCCUUUGGGACCUUCUUGGGCCUGAACCAGUAAACAGAACUUCCUUUGGGGAUGAAGUAUUGUACUGCAUGCCUAACCUCAUGGCUUGGUAGGUCAGGUAACACGCAGUUCAUUUUAGGCAACUCAGAUAGCAUGGAUAUUUAGUGGCCCAUAGUCAAGCAUUCAGUUUCUACUAAAGCCUAAUAGCUGGCAGAGAGCCCUCUUUCAAAAGGAGAGGAUUUUCUGCAGUUGAUGGCAGAGCUUGCUCCAAAAUCCUGAAGCCUGUGCUACUAUUUGCCUAUGUAGGCUACAAACAUUUCCAUCUGCUACUAACACUUCAAGCACAGGUUGUUCUGAAGCAUACAAGAUGAUUGAACCAUAUUCUAUAAUUUGGAUCUGAGUGGUCCAGGACUUGAGAAUGUAGCCUAACCUGAUGGAAUUAAGGCAGUGUCACAUGAAGGUUGAACCCACAAACCUAGAGUCAGGCUGAUGGGUUCAAAUCUCAACCUCUCUUCUGUCUAUCUAGAGCGGAAAUAUCUCUAAAUAGGCUGAAGAGAGUUUGACCCUGGACAAGUAAUUUGACUCCCAGUGCUUCAUUCCAUCAGUGUUAGAAUGGUGAUGAUAAUCACAAUCCCUCACUGGAUUAUGGAGAGCUGAAGAAUAAUCUAAUGUAUAGAAAAUUCUUUUUUUUUUUUGAGACAGAGUCUGGCUCUGUCACCCAGGCUGGAGUGUAGUGGCACAAUCUCGGCUCUCUGCGGCCUCUGCCUCCUGGAUUCAAGUGAUUCUUCUGCCUCAGCCUCCUGAGUAGCUGGGACUACAGGCAUGCACCACCACUCCUGGCUAAUUUUUGUAUGUUUAGACCGAAUUUCACCAUGUUGGUCAAGAUGGUCUUGAUCUUCUGACCUUGUGAUCCACCCGCCUCCGCCUUCCAAAGUGCUGAGAUUACAGGUGUGAGCCACCAUACGUGGCCAGAAAACUCUUAAAAACGGUUCUUCUGUGAUUACAUGAUUAGUAAGUAUUCAUUAUGGUUGUUGCCUCACUCUAACUUAGCUCUCUACUCAAAUACCACCUCACUAUAAAGGCUUCCACAACCACCUUAUAACUUCUGAUAACUUCCUAUUUUCAUUGUAUUUGAUUUGUCUUCACAGAACUGAUCAUUACUAGAUAUAGUACUAAUAUAUACUUAACGAUUAAAUAUUACUUUAAAUGUUGUCUCCUGUGUUUUAAUUUUUGAUGUGCCAGGAACUAUUCGUGGGACUGGGAAUAUAACAGUAACUAAAAGAUAAAAUUUCCUUCACCAUUUUUUCUGGUGUUGACUUAUUGACCUUCACUACUGGGAACCUGUCUCCUUGAGGGUCGGGACUUUGCGUUUUCGAUUCAUUGCUGCAAACUCAGAACCUAGAACAGUGACUCUCCUAAAAAGUCAACACUUACCGAACAAACAAAUGAGUGAAUGAAUAAUAUUUUUACCUGGCACAUAGAAAUUGUCACCCGGGAAGAAAAGAGGAGCAAAUCUUGAACCUCUUUAACACACAGAGAGCUGGGUAAUGGAAUGCAUCUGAGAUUUCCUCCUUAUGAUUCUGCAUGGUGUGUACUUUAUGUCUAUUCUUAGUGUGGAAAGUGAGACUCAGAGACAUCAAAUGCAUUCCUCAAGGACAAACAGCUAGAUGGAAACAGAGUCAGAAUUCUAUCCAGGUCUAUUUGACCACCAGCUCUGCACUUUACCUACUGUAUUCAUGCAGAAGAGCGCUGAGUUACAGGCCAAUAAUGAGAACUAGUGAAGGGCUGGCAAACACCUCCGUUACAUAAGGAGUUUCUCUAGGCUGUGUGCAUCACCCCACACUUCAUCUAAAAUAGAUGUUGGAGAUUUUAAACAUCUAGAGUUUAGAUACCUGAAAAAAUAAAUCAUUUUAGUGAUUUGUGGCAAAAGGAAGGAAGAAGCAGCAGGAGGAGGUGGAGGAGGAGGAGAAGGAGAAG